CAGGGAGAUGUGAGCUGUGACUAUGAAGAAGACAUUAUCCCUGCUUUCAAGGAAUUUUCAAUCCAGCAAGGGAGAGAAGAGUGAAUCAUGUAUCCAACUAACAAUACAAAGUGUGACUCGGAUGGAGGUACAAGUUCCUUGUACUUGGGAGUUGGGGAAUGGGCUUGAAGACCAUCUACUGUUGGAAGGAGGAAUACUCUGGCACCCUGAGCUUGGCUGAAGGACUGCGUCUUUCUUGUUGAGACAGUGUUGCCUUGUGAGUUGGUGGAGUUGCCCUAAACAAGCCUGAGAGCAAAAGCCACUUUGACUAGGGUGGCAAAGCAGAAAGCUAAGAGAAUACGGGACCUCAUGGUCUCACUGAGCUACUGAACCAUCAACCCUGGAAUCACCCAACCACCUAACUUCUGGGCUCCUUGUCAUCUGAGAUAGUGAUAAUCCCAUUAUUGUUUGAGCUACUUUGAAUUAGGUGUUCAUUACUUAUAGCCAAAAGCCAUGGCUAACUGAUCUACCAUGUUUAUGAGGAACAACUGAAACACCUACAACUUUUGGCCUGGAAAAGAGAAGACCCUGGAGGAGCAGAACCAAAGUUUUCUGAUAUUUAAAGGCCUUUCCUUCAGCCCUUCAACUUGCUUCCUGUCCAGGAUCACAGCUCUAGGAAGCAAAUGAACCUGUGAUAAAGGGUGGGCAUUCUAACUCUCAGGGCUAUCCAAAGAUGAAAUGUGUUGUUUUAGCAAGUAAUGAGUUUCCUAUCCCUGUUCUUGGAUG